GACGAACGCUGGCGGCGUGCUUAACACAUGCAAGUCGAACGGAAAGGCCCUGCGUUUGUGGGGUGCUCGAUUGGCGAACGGGUGAGUAACACGUGAGUAACAUGCCCUUGACUUUGUGAUAACUUCAGGGAACUGGGGCGAAUACCGGAUAUGAUCUCCUGCUGCAUGGUGUGGGUUGGAAAGUUUCGGCUGUUGGGGAUGGACUCGCGGCUUAUCAGCUUGUUGGUGGGGUAGGUGCUUACCAAGGCUUUGACGGGUAGCCGGCCUGGGAGGGUGACCGGCGACAUUGGGACUGCGAUACGGACCAGAAGGGUACGGGCGGCAGUAGGGGGGAACCUUGCACAAUGGGCGGAAGCGUGAUGCAGAAACGUCGCGUGCGGGAUGACGGGCUUCGGGUUGUAAACCGAUUUCGAAUGUGACGAAGCGUGCGUGACGGUAAUGGGUCAAGAAGCACCGGCUAACUACGUG
rnacentral:rRNA from 1 species